AAUACAUGCAAGUCGUGCGGACUUAUCUUCGGAUAAGUUAGCGGCGGACGGGUGAGUAACACGUGGGCAACCUGCCUGUAAGACCGGGAUAACUCCGGGAAACCGGAGCUAAUACCUGAUACGUUAAAAGACCGCAUGGUCUUUUAUGGAAAGGCCUUGUGCCACUUACAGAUGGGCCCGCGGCGCAUUAGCUUGUUGGUAGGGUAACGGCCUACCAAGGCGACGAUGCGUACCCGACCUGAGAGGGUGAUCGGCCACACUGGGACUGAGACACGGCCCACACUCCUACGGGAGGCAGCAGUAGGGAAUCUUCCGCAAUGGACGAAAGUCUGACGGAGCAACGCCGCGUGAGUGAUGAAGGCUUUCGGGUCCUAAAGCUCUGU
rnacentral:rRNA from 1 species